UCCUCCCAAGCCCGGCCAACCUACACACCUGGGGACUAGUAGACACUCCUGAGUGCAAACUGUGCCAGAAGAGGGGCACCCUGGAGCACAUCUUAAGCUGCUGCCCUAAAGCGCUAGGAGAGGGGCGGUACCGCUGGCGCCAUGACCAAGUCCUAAAAGCUUUGGCAGAAACCAUCAGCACAGCGAUCCAGCACAGCAAGACCCAGGCAGCCCCCAAACAGGCAAUCACAUUCAUUAGAGCAGGGCAGAAGGCACAACAUCACCAUCCCAACUCUACAGGGGGGCUCCUUACCACCGCUCGUGAUUGGCAGCUUCAAGUCGACCUCGGAAGACAGCUUAAGUUCCCAGUCAACAUCACAACUACUUCUCUCCGCCCAGAUGUGGUACUAACAUCGGAGUCCACCAAACAAGUAGUCAUCCUGGAACUAACAGUCCCCUGGGAAGACAGGAUCGAAGAGGCCCACGAACGCAAGAGAGCCAAGUAUGCAGAGCUCAGCACAGAGUGCCGGAACAAUGGCUGGAAAACCCGCUGUGAGCCAGUCGAGGUCGGGAGCCGAGGCUUCGCUGGCCAAUCACUUCUGAGAACCCUCAAACUCCUUGGAGUAAAAGGACUGCGAUUGAAGAAAGCCAUCAGAAACAUCCUAGAGGCCGCAGAAAGGGCCUCGCGGUGGCUGUGGAUCCGUAGGGGGGAUCCGUGGAACAUCACGCCACUUGGACACAAGUCGGGGACUGAUCACCCCCGGCUGGGUCGCCCGGGUGAGGGUGUAUGAAGAUUAAAGACCCGAAACACCCUAUGACCCCGGGUACUUCACUGAUGACGUGUCCAAGUAGCACCAGCAGGUGUAUCCAAAUUCCAUGAUUGUAGGACAGCCAUAAUCAUAAUCAAAACAAAAAUCGGAUGAAUCUCCCUGCCCUUGGUGAGAGGCACCCC